AAUCCCGGUCUGAACUGUUUACCCUGACGUCAGUCCGCACGGCUCGCAGCUUCUCCCUCACUUCUGUCCUCUCCCAACUCCGCUCCGCCCGGGAUUCCGGGGACCGAUGGACUUGGAGUCCAUAAGCUACCCUAACUACCUGGAGCCACUGACAUGAUCCCCGUCUGUUUUUCCCAGACUGGACUAAACGCGUAACAUGAAUACCUGCGCCAUUCUUCUGCUCCUGGCUGUUCAGAUUCGCGCCGACAGUGUCGAGGGACCAACAGCAGCAGGCUGUACUUUUGAUGAAGACUCCGACCCCAGCCUGUGUGAGUUCAGCCAGGGAGAGGAGGAUGAUUUUGAUUGGCAGCUGUUCCGCGCCCACGCCUCGCCUCAUGCCACCUCUGAUCUCCUGCGUGGCUCCUACAUGAUGGUGAACUCUUCUCAGCAUGCUUCAGGCCAGAGAGCACAGCUGCUGCUGCAGACGCUCAGUGAGAAUGACACGCACUGCGUCCAGUUCAGCUACUUCCUGUACAGCCGAGAUGGCCACAGCCCCGGGACGCUGCGGGCAUAUGUGCGGGUGAACGGCGGCCCACUGGGCAUCCCCGUGUGGAACGUCACCGGCUCCCAGGGUAAACAGUGGCACCAGGUGGAGCUGGCCGUCAGCACCUUCUGGCCCAAUGAGUAUCAGGUAUUGCUGGAGGCGACUGUCGACCGUUGGGGCUAUAUAGCUGUGGAUGACAUCCUGGUGCAGAACUAUCCAUGCUAUAAAGCCCCCCACUUCUCUCGCCUGGGGGAUGUGGAAGUCAAUGCUGGACAGAAUGCUACCUUCCAGUGCGUGGCUGCAGGACGGGCGGCCGAGGCGGAGAAGUUUUUACUAGAGCGUCACAGCGGUGAGGUGUACUCAGGUGGCUCGGUCAAGCACCUGGGGCGCAAUCGUUUUGCUGUGUCCUUCCAGCUGGAAGAUGUCCAAAAGCCAGAGCAGGACCUUUACCGCUGUGUCACUCAGUCCACAAGAGGCUCUGGAGUAUCCAACUUUGCUGAACUCAUUGUCAAAGUGCCCCCUUCUCCCAUCGCUCCACCACAGCUGCAGAGAGCAGGUUCCACCUACUUGAUCAUCCAACUCAACACUAACUCCAUUCUGGGUGAUGGCCCCAUCAUCCGCAGAGAAAUCGAAUACCGAGCCAGCCAUGCGCCCUGGUCUGAAAUCAAUGGAGUCAAUAUGGUCACUUAUAAGCUGUGGCACCUGGACCCGGAUACUGAAUAUCACAUCAGUGUGCUGCUUACUCGGCCUGGAGAGGGUGGUACUGGACCCCCUGGACCCCCACUAAUCAGCAGAACUAAGUGUGCUGAGCCUAUGAGAGCACUGCGCGGUCUGAGGGCAGUGGAGGUCCAGGCCCGGCAGCUGACCCUGCAGUGGGAGCCAUUGGCCUUCAAUCUGACUCGUUGCCAUACCUACUCGGUCUCUCUGUGCUAUCGCUACGCCACAGCAGGUGGUGGCGGCGGGCACAACACCACAGUCAGAGAGUGUCUGGCUGUGGAAGGCAACACCUCACGCUUCACCCUCAGAGAUCUCCCCCCCUACCACACCAUCCACGUCCGUCUGGCCCUCGCCAACACUGAGGGCAAAAAAGAGAGCAAAGAGGUCACUUUCCAGACCGAGGAGGAUGUUCCUGGAGGAAUCGCUCCAGAAUCCCUUACCUUCACCCCCCUGGACGACAUGAUCUUUCUCAAAUGGGAGGAACCAGUGGAGCCCAAUGGUCUCAUCACUCAGUAUGAGAUUAGCUACCAGAGCAUUGAGUCAUCUGAUCCUGGCAUCAAUGUACCUGGCCCGCGGCGCACGGUCUCCAAGCUGAAGAAUGAAACGUACCACAUGUUCUCCAAUCUGCACCCCGGCACCACCUACCUCAUCUCUGUACGUGCCCGGACGGCCAAGGGCUUUGGGCAGACAGCCCUCACUGAAAUCACCACCAACAUCUCAGCUCCUACCUUUGACUAUGGAGACAUGCCAUCUCCGCUAAGCGAGACAGAGAGCACAAUCACUGUGCUGCUGCGUCCCGCCCAGGGCCGAGGUGCUCCUGUCAGUACAUACCAGGUGGUGGUGGAAGAGGAGACUGUGAGGAAAGUGAAGAGAGAGUUGGGGAUGCAAGACUGUUUUCCUGUGCCCACCUCUCAUGGGGAGGCACAGGCACGGGGGGCUCCUCAUUACUACACCGCCGAACUUCCACCCAGCAGCUUGCCUCAGGCCACACCAUUCACUGUGGGAGAUAACCACACCUAUAACGGAUACUGGAACAGCCCACUGGACCCCAGGAAGAACUACCUCAUCUACUUUCAGGCCAUGAGCAACUUCCGAGGGGAAACAAGGAUAAACUGCAUCCGUAUUGCCCGUAAAGCGGCCUGUAAGGACCACCGACGGGCUCUCGAGGUGUCCCAGCACUCAGAGGAGAUGGGAUGGAUCCUUGGUGUGUGUGCAGGAGGUCUGGUGGUACUCAUCCUGCUGCUGGGGGCCAUUAUCAUCAUCAUAAAGAAAGGAAGGGACUACUACUCUUACUCUUACUAUCCUAGGAAGCCGGUGAACAUGAAUAAGACUCCCAUUACCUACAGGCAGGAGAAGAGUAAUAUGAUGGGCUCAAUGGAGCGCAGCUUUGCUGACCAGAGCACGCUGCAGGAGGACGAGAGAAUGGCUCUGUCCUUUAUGGAUGCCCACACCUGCAGCACCCGCAGUGAUCCUCGCAGUUCCAUGAAUGAGUCCAGCAGUCUACUUGGUGGCUCGCCUCGGAGACAGUGUGGGCGUAAGGGUUCUCCCUACCACACGGGACAGCUUCAUCCAGCUGUUCGUGUGGCCGAUCUGCUGCAACAUAUCAACCAAAUGAAGACUGCAGAGGGCUAUGGCUUCAAACAGGAGUAUGAGAGCUUCUUUGAAGGCUGGGAUGUCACAAAGAAGAAGGAUAAGACAAAAGGAAGACAAGAUACGUUAAUGGGUUAUGAUCGUCACAGAGUGAAGUUACACCCACUGCUUGGGGAUCCAAACUCCGACUACAUCAAUGCCAAUUAUAUCGAUAUUCGGAUAAACAGGGAAGGUUACCAUCGAUCCAACCACUUCAUCGCCACACAGGGGCCUAAGCAGGAGACAGUGUAUGAUUUCUGGAGGAUGGUGUGGCAGGAGAACUGCUUCAGCAUCGUUAUGAUCACCAAGCUCGUGGAGGUGGGCAGGGUGAAGUGCUGUAAGUACUGGCCUGAUGACACAGAGAUGUACGGAGACAUCAAGAUCAGCCUGCUGAAGACAGAGACCCUGGCAGAGUACACAGUACGCACCUUCUCCUUAGAGAGGAGGGGUUACUCAGCCAAACAUGAGGUCCGGCAGUUCCAUUUCACAUCAUGGCCUGAGCAUGGAGUGCCGUACCACGCCACAGGCCUGCUGGCUUUCAUCCGCAGGGUCAAAACCUCCACUCCCGCUGAUGCUGGACCAGUGGUGGUCCACUGCAGUAUGGGAGCUGGCAGGACGGGCUGCUAUAUCGUGCUGGACGUCAUGUUGGACAUGGCUGAGUGUGAGGGAGUUGUGGACAUCUACAAUUGUGUAAAGACUCUCUGCUCACGCCGUAUCAACAUGAUCCAGACUGAGGAGCAGUACAUAUUUAUUCACGAUGCUAUACUGGAAGCGUGCUUGUGUGGAGAGACGGCUAUACUGGUGAACGAGUUUGCUCUCACCUACAAAGAGAUGCUGAGGGUUGACUCUCAGAGUAAUUCCUCACAGCUUCGAGAAGAGUUUCAGACUCUGAACUCGGUGACCCCUCACCUGGAUGUGGAGGAGUGCAGCAUUGCACUGUUGCCACGAAACCGUGAGAAGAACCGCAGUAUGGAUGUUUUGCCACCGGACCGCGCCCUGGCCUUUCUGGUCACCACUGAGGGCGAGAGCAACAACUACAUCAAUGCUGCGCUGACUGACAGCUUCCACCGACCAGCAGCCUUCAUAGUGACCCCACACCCCCUGCCUGGCACCACCGCAGACUUCUGGAGGCUGGUGUUUGAUUACGGCUGCACCUCCAUAGUCAUGCUCAACCAGCUGAACCAGUCCAACUCAGCCUGGCCAUGUGUGCAGUACUGGCCUGAGCCUGGACUUCAGCAGUAUGGCCCCAUGCAGGUGGAAUUUCUCUCCAUGUCUGCUGAUGAGGAUAUCAUCACUCGACUGUUCCGUGUAAAAAAUGUCACAAGGCUCCAGGAGGGUCAGCUGGUGGUGUGCCAGUUCCAAUUCCUGCGAUGGUCUGCGUAUCGAGAUGUGCCAGACUCAAAGAAGGCUUUCCUCAAUCUCCUGGCCCAUGUGCAGAAGUGGCAAAGAGAAUGUGGCGAGGGACGAACCGUGGUGCACUGCCUGAACGGCGGUGGUCGUAGUGGCAUGUUCUGCGCGUGUACAAUUCUGAUGGAGAUGAUUCAGUACCAGAAUGUGGCUGACAUCUUCUAUGCAGUCAAGACCCUGCGCAAUGCCAAACCCAAUAUGGUGGAGACGCUGGUAAGUACAGAGCCGUGCAAAUUCCUAAAAGUAAGUAAACAUGGCUGUGAAGGUGGGAACUGUUUUUUUUAGUAUGGUUCAGUUGUUGACACCAGCAAGUCAGUAAAAAAUAUUUUCCCCACAAAACUGUCAAUACCAGACUAUAUUGUGAUAUAGUCACCACUGAUCAGGACAGGACACUAAGAGGGUUUUCACACCUACCCUGUUUGGUCUGAACCAAAACACAGUAGUGUUCAAAUUAAUAGCAGUCCAACAUGACUAACCAGAUUACAUCACUGUUUUUGAUAUAAUUAUAUUACCACAACGCAAACAAAUUUACCAGUACAAUAGACUUAGCAUUAAUGAUAUGCAUGCUCUUGAGUCUGUGUAUUUGAAUAAUGAAUCCAUUAAAUAAAUGAUUUAAUUAAAUAGUUGUGUCCAAAAUAAUAGCAGUUUGAAGUUUAAUUCGUAAGGUCAGUCAUUCUGUGAAGAAACAUACUAAUGCGGAUAAAAUUUCUCAAAGAACACAUCAACUGCCCUAAAACGAAAUGGAGAAACUGAUAAAAGUAAAAUUGUUCUUUUGGUGUACAAGGGCCUCAGACAGAUGACUCCCAAACUCAGAUUUCAAUCCACAGUACACUCUUCAGAGAGUGAAGCAUCAAAAUUGAGGGUAUGGAGUGACCAGCCCAAUCCCUGAACCUUAUUAAUAUGACAGAAAAUUUGUGGGGUGACAUCAAAAAUGCUGUUUCUGAGGCAAAACCAAAGAAAUGCAAAUAAAUUGUGGGAUGUAGAUGUGGGCUGGAAGACGUGCCAGAAGUUGGUGGACACUAUGCAACACAGAUCUGAAGCAGUUUUUUUAAAAAAGAACUGCGGUUAUACAUCUAAAUAUUAGGUUGGAGAUUCACAGGAAUGCUAAAUACAUAAAGUACAUAUUUUGAGUUUGUAAAGACAAAUGCAAACACUUUUUUACAGCCCACUGUUCUAUCCUCUGUAAAGUAGUUAAAAUUAUAUACAUGUCUCUGCAUGUUUUCAUUUAGAAAACAGUGUGCAAUGUUUCCAAUGCAUGGAAAUAAAAACUAUAAAUAUAGUUGUGCGCUUGACUGCUUGUGUUUUUAAACACACAGCUAUUAUUUUGAACACAACUGUAAUAAGAAGGAAAGGUGCAAUCUAAAGACAUCUUGGUGGGCGCCGAGUGGUCCAGCGGUCUAAAGCGCUGCCACUAUGAGUGGGAGGUCGCAGGUUCGAACCCCAGCUCAUGCAGCUUUGCCAUCAAACUGCCGGCAUCAGAGGGAGCAAAAUUGGCCCUGCUCCCUCUGGGUGGGUAGAUGGCGCUCUCUCCCCACAUCACUCCUAGGGUGAUGUCUGCAGCACAAGGCGUCUGUGUGCUGAUGUACCGGAGCCGAACCGCUGUGCUUUCCUCCAAGCGCGCUGGCUGCUCGGUAAUGCUGCAUCAGCAGCAGCUCGAAAAGAAGCGGUGGCUGACUUCACAUGUAUCGGAGGAAGCAUGUGUUAGUCUUCACCCUCCUGGUGUGUUGGGGCAUCACUAGUGAUAGGGGGAGUCCUAAUGAGUGGGUUGGAUAAUUGGCUGUGCAAAAAUAGAAAUAAAAUAAUAAAAACAUUCAGGCCAUUUAUCUUUAAUUGUUCUAUAAUUUGCUGUGACUGAUGUGCCAUACAAACUGCGAAAAUGUUGUCUUAUUUUAUUGCAACUCAAAAAAAAAGUUUGGUCAUUUUUGCUGCCAAAAUUAUGAUGCACUAUAUAUUCAAAACUGUUGUAGACACAUCUUUUAUAAUAUUUACAGAAAACAGUUUAGAAUGGGUUAGAGUGACCAUACCUGGGCCCAGUGCCAAACAUUGAUUAGACUACGAUGCUCAAAGAUCCACAGGACUGGGACAGUAGAGUUCUGUCAUCUGGAGUUUGAGACAGGAAUGGAUGGAAUGGUCUUUGUGAUCCAAAACUAUCUAUCCAGCAUCAGAACCUGGCUUCACAAAUUCUUUUGGUCCUGAAUGCAUUUAAAUUUUCAAGCAAUGUUCCAAUGUGGUAUGAAGUCUUUACAGAAGAGUAAAAAAGGGACAUGUUCCCUAUGGAUGCCCUUAAAUUAGAAAUAAUAAAUGAACAGGUGUUUACAAACUUUUGGACAUGAUUUGUUGUAAUUUCACAAUUUUAUCUAUUAGAAAUACAUCUCCUCAAAUCUCAACCUUGAAUCCAGUUUCAAGUCCAGGACUUUGUUCCUGCAGAAAGGGAAAACAGAGCAUUAAAUGUAACUGAUUGAGCUCAUAGUGUUGCACCUUUCAGAAAUUGGGACUGGAAUUGGAAAGUCCAAAUUUGAUGACCUCUGUUUUAGAACAAUGCUCUCCUAUUUUUCUCCUGGAGAGCUACCUUUCUGCAGGUUUCAACUCCCAACCCCAUUCAUACAGUUCCAUUCCUGAUUUGUGAAGCAAACCACAGGGUUCAUACGUUCAUGAAAAACCUGGAAAAGUCAUGGAAUUUGAAAAUAGCAAUUUCCAGUCUUGGAUACGUUUUGGAAAAAUAAAAACACCCAGAAAGUGUUUAGAAGUCAUGGAAAUUUGGUCUACAAAUCUUUGUGUUUCAGUUUAAAUCUAUUUUGAGCUAACAAUUGCGUCAGCUCAAAGUUAAUUCAGUAAUUUAGCAUUUUAUUAGCCUUUAAGCCUUUUUAACAUUUUAUU